rnacentral:tRNA from 6 species
GCGCUCGUAGUGAAGGGGUUAUCACGCCUCCCUGUCACGGAGGAGAUCGCCGGUUCAAAUCCGGUCGAGCGCGCCA